CAAGUACUCCCUCCGUACGAAAAUACUUGUCUUAGAAAUGGAUAAAAUGGAAGAAUCUAUAACUAAAAUAAGUCUAGAUACAACCAUUUCUAGGACAAGUAUUUCCGAACGGAGGGAGUACAUG
rfam:Triticum aestivum genome assembly, contig: Triticum_aestivum_CS42_TGACv1_scaffold_225308_3B